rnacentral:rRNA from 1 species
CCUACGGUGUGCAGCAGUCGAGAAUCAUUCACAAUGGGGGAAACCCUGAUGGUGCGACGCCGCGUGGGGGACUGAAGGUCUUCGGAUUGUAAACCCCUGUCAUGUGGGAGCAAAUUAAAAAGAUAGUACCACAAGAGGAAGAGACGGCUAACUCUGUGCCAGCAGCCGCGGUAAUACAGAGGUCUCAAGCGUUGUUCGGAAUCACUGGGCGUAACGCGUGCGUAGGCUGUUUCGUAAGUCGUGUGUGAAAGUCGCGGGCUCAACCCGCGGACGGCACAUGAUACUGCGAGACUAGAGUAAUGGAGGGGGAACCGGAAUGCUAGGUGUAGCAGGGAAAUGCGUAGAUAUCGAGAGGAACACUCGUGGCGAAGGCGGGUUCCUGGACAUUAACUGACGCUGAGGCACGAAGGCCAGGGGAGCGAAAGGGAUGAGAUACCCGAGUAGUC